rnacentral:rRNA from 1 species
UGGGGAAUAUUGGGCAAUGGGCGAAAGCCUGACCCAGCAACGCCGCGUGAGGGAAGAAGGUUUUCGGAUUGUAAACCUCUGUCCUUGGGGACGAAAAAAAUGACGGUACCCAAGGAGGAAGCCCCGGCUAACUACGUGCCAGCAGCCGCGGUAAUACGUAGGGGGCGAGCGUUGUCCGGAAUUACUGGGCGUAAAGGGUGCGUAGGCGGUUGUCUAAGUCAGAUGUGGAAUCCCCGGGCUCAACUCGGGUGGUGCAUUUGAAACUGGGCAACUAGAGUGCAGGAGAGGGAAGCGGAAUUCCUAGUGUAGCGGUGAAAUGCGUAGAUAUUAGGAGGAACACCAGUGGCGAAGGCGGCUUUCUGGACUGUAACUGACGCUGAGGCACGAAAGCGUGGGGAGCAAACAG